rnacentral:rRNA from 1 species
UACGUAGGGUGCGAGCGUUGUCCGGAAUUAUUGGGCGUAAAGGGCUCGUAGGCGGUUUGUCGCGUCGGGAGUGAAAACCUUGGGCUUAACUCGGGGCUUGCUUUCGAUACGGGCAGACUAGAGGUAUGCAGGGGAGAACGGAAUUCCUGGUGUAGCGGUGAAAUGCGCAGAUAUCAGGAGGAACACCGGUGGCGAAGGCGGUUCUCUGGGCAUGAUCUGACGCUGAGGAGCGAAAGUGUGGGGAGCGAACAGG